UCGGAUUUAAUCCUCCUGAGACAGGAGGGCUGCUCCCCUUUCCCAGGUGGGAAAACUGAGUGUAAGCGGCCGAGCUGAGUAACUUUCUCAACAUCAUCAGGUGGGAAGCGAUCCGGCCAGAACUCGGCCCCGCCAGAGCAAUCCUGUUUCUUACUCUGCAUAUCCCCUGACGGGUCUUGCUCCGGACCCUGUGCACCACAGGCUCCAGUGCUGGCUGACCGCUCCAGGCCCAGAAAAGCAGCAAAACCAGACAAGCGAUGCCAUGGCUGAC